rfam:Pantoea sp. At-9b plasmid pPAT9B01, complete sequence.
AAAAUGAGUAGAAGCUGUCAGCCGCGGUCAUUACCCGGUAGGUCAUUGCUCGAUCG